rnacentral:rRNA from 1 species
UACCGAGGUCUCAAGCGUUGUUCGGAUUCAUUGGGCGUAAAGGGUGCGUAGGCGGCGCGGUAAGUCGGGUGUGAAAUCUCGGAGCUUAACUCCGAAACUGCAUUCGAUACUGCCGUGCUUGAGGACUGGAGAGGAGACUGGAAUUUACGGUGUAGCGGUGAAAUGCGUAGAUAUCGUAAGGAAGACCAGUGGCGAAGGCGGGUCUCUGGACAGUUCCUGACGCUGAGGCACGAAGGUCAGGGGAGCAAACAGG